rnacentral:rRNA from 1 species
CGCGUAGGCGGUUUUGUAAGUCGGAUGUGAAAGCCCUGGGCUUAACCUGGGAAUUGCAUUCGAUACUGCAUAACUAGAGUACGGUAGAGGGAAGUGGAAUUCCGGGUGUAGCGGUGAAAUGCGUAGAUAUCCGGAGGAACACCAGUGGCGAAGGCGACUUCCUGGGCCAGUACUGACGCUGAGGUGCGAAAGCGUGGGGAGCAAACA